rnacentral:sRNA from 1 species
GGUAUUCCUUAUCUAUCUAAUACGUUGAGUUAUCUGGAACCUGUCCCAUUGAGUUCUCGCCAAAGAACGCAAUAAGACAGGUUCUGCGUUUAGUUACCGCGCUUU